AUUGAACGCUGGCGGCAGGCCUAACACAUGCAAGUCGAACGAGUGGCGGACGGGUGAGUAAUGUCUGGGAAACUGCCUGAUGGAGGGGGAUAACUAAUGGAAACGGUAGCUAAUACCGCAUACCAUCAGAUGUUCACGGAUGGGCUUAGCUUGUUGGUGGGGUAACGGCGCACCAAGGCGACGACCCCUAGCUGGUCUGAGAGGAUGACCAGCCACGCGGGAACUGAGAUACGGUCCAGACUCCGACGGGAGGCAGCAGUGGAGAAUAUUGCAAAAUGGGCGCAAGCCGGAUGCAGGCAUGCCGCGUGUAUGAAGAAGGGCUUCGGGUUGGAAAGUACGAUCAGCGGGGAGGCGUUACCCGCAGAAGAGGCACCGGCUAACUCCGUGCCAGCAGCCGCGGUAAUAC
rnacentral:rRNA from 1 species